rnacentral:rRNA from 1 species
GAUGAACGCUAGCGGAAGGCCUAAUACAUGCAAGUCGAACGGAGAUAAUAUUUCGGUAUUAUUUUAGUGGCGCACGGGUGAGUAACGCGUACACAACCUACCUUAUAUUGGGGGAUAGCCCUGGGAAACUGGGAGUAAUACCGCAUAACAUUAUAGAGUGGCAUCAUUUAAAAUUAAAGCUGAGGCGAUAUAAGAUGGGUGUGCGUCUGAUUAGGUAGUUGGUAGGGUAAAGGCCUACCAAGCCGACGAUCAGUAGGGGGUGUGAGAGCACGACCAGUCACACGGGCACUGAGACACGGGCCCGACUCCUACGGGAGGCAGCAGUAAGGAAUAUUGGUCAAUGGACGAAAGUCUGAACCAGCCAUGCCGCGUGAAGGAUGAAGGCCCUCUGGGUUGUAAACUUCUUUUAUAGGGGACGAAAAAGGGAAUUCUUUCCCACUUGACGGUACCAGAAGAAUAAGCACCG